GACGAACGCUGGCGGCGCGCCUCACACAUGCAAGUCGAACGAGCGAGAGAGAGCUUGCUUUCUCGAGCGAGUGGCGAACGGGUGAGUAACACGUGAGGAACCUGCCUCAAAGAGGGGGACGACAGUUGGAAACGACUGCUCAUACCGCAUAAGACCACGGCCCGGCAUCGUGCCGGGGGAAAAGGAGCAAUCCGCGUUGAGAUGGCCUCGCGUCCGAUUAUCUAGUUGGUGGGGUAACGGCCCACCAAGGCGAAGAUCGGUAGCCGGACUGAGAGGUUGAACGAUCACAUGGGGACAGAGACGCGGCCCAGACUCCGACGUGAAGCAGCAGUGGAGAAUAUUGCACAACCGGGGAAACCCUGAUGCAUCGACGCCGCGUGGAAGAAGAAGGUCUUCGUAAUGUAAGCUCCUGUUAUUGGGGAAUAUAAUGACGGUACCCAACAAGAAAGUAACGGCAAACUACGUG
rnacentral:rRNA from 1 species